GCUUGUGGCAAUAGCGGGAGAGACGCCACAGAGAAGCCGGCAAGCCACGCAGCGACUUGCCUGAGGCCAAGGGACAGCCCCUAGCCCCCCCAUCCCCAUGACUCAUCUGCGUGACAAUCUGAUGGGCUGUGGCAGCCGUGGGAAGGCGGCUGGAAGGACACCUGAGUUCCCCACACAAGUUCCAACAGGGCUCGGCGGGCGCAGGGGCUGCUGGUCUCGGCGGGGGCAGCAGCAUGCCAGCCUGAGUCAGCCCUCCUGGAGACAGACAGAGUCCGGCAGGGUGCUACCUGCCCUGGUCUGCCCUGGUUCCUUUUGCUGGGACUGCUCUGGAGUGGUUCUUACCACUCACUCUAGGGGGUUCUACUGUCUCCAGAGCUCAAAGGUUUAAACUGGUCCCAGGGCCUCAGAGCGCAGGGUUAAUCCCUUGUGGGCAGGUUAUGGAAAGGCCUGUGCUGGGCGCCUUCACCACUCCAUCUUCACUGUCACCGGCGUCAUCUAUAUGUUCACUCAUUCUGUGUCCGCACGCUCAUGGAGCACGCUCCUUCCAUGAGCACGCGUUUCCUGCAACCCGCCUGCCCUCUGUCCUGGAACAGCGAAGUCAAGGUGACAGACCUAGCGGCCAAAGCCAACAGGGCAGGUGGAGAGACCUAACUGUCCUCAGUGCCAUUCUGCUGCAAUGUUCCCUGCUGAGAUGAGACCACAUAGGGUCAGCCUUUCUAUGACCCAGGAAGACCUUGGUUACUCAAACCAGCCUGCUGCAGCCCCUUCUUCCCAUCUUCCUACAAGCUGGCCCCAAACCACAGGUGCCCACAUCUUUUGAAAUAUCUACUUUGUCUACCUGGAAGCUGCUGGCUUCGGGCACGACUGUCCCUUCUGCCUGCUCAGUCCAAGCCAGCCUUGUCACCUCCCUGCAGCGGUCACUGGACAGGCACUGUCUGCCUUGGCUGGGCUCCUGGGUGGCCAGGAGGCUCUUGGAAAGCCCUCUUCAUUCCCACUCAUGGAGCUCUGAAGCCCUUUUCCGGAAUGGCUUCCCGAUGAGGUAAUGCUUCUUGCAGACGGGAGGAGGUCCUGGAGAAUGGCAGCCAGUGGCCUCCUUGCCUGGGCGACCUGCCCAAGGCACAAAAUGAACCCUUUUUGGUGGCUGAAAGGAAGACCAGGCCCUAGACUCCAGACCUUCAUUCAUCUCCCAGCCUUGAGCUGGGACUAUCCCAGGGCUGGGCUGAGCUUGCAGCCUUACAGUUCUCUUCCCUGCCUCUCAGCUGAGGGGAAACUGAGGCCCGAAGGGGUAGGGGGUUGGUUACUCUCAGAGCUCCAGCAGGAAUCCACAGUUACUUCUAUUUGACACUCUGAGGGACAAAGAAAUCCUCCUGGGUCACCCGCUUGGGUCUGAGAGUAGUCUCUAGCUAUGCUUCUAUGUUGGAGCUGGGUGGAUGCUGGCCCAGAGGACAGCUGCUGGGUUAUCCACUCUCCGCUCUAUAACCUGAGGGAGAGAGAAGCUGGAGAGACAGACACUACGCCAGGAACGUCCUUGUUUCCUCACUCCUACCGUAUGCCUGCCAGGCCUCGCACUGGCGAUGGGGUCCCUAAUACCCACAUGGUCCAGAAACACCCACACCUCAGGCUUGGAAAACAAUAUGAAACUUCUCACUUCCGAAGCUGGUGGCCACAGUGCCCGGAGCCUGGGGCUGGCACCGGAAGACCUUCAGGACUAGAUAACAGCUGUCUUUCUCCAGCCCUGCAGGACCCCAGUGCUUGGUGGGAUUGAGACGCAGGCUGGAAGAUGACUCCAUGAAGCAAGCAGGCCUAGCGUCUGCAGGCCCAGCUGGCCCUGUCCCCGAUUUGGAUUUAUUGCGCAAUGUUAUCCAAGCCCCCCUGUCCUGGCCGGGUCUCAAUCUCUCCAUCUGCAGACAGGAGGAGGGCAGGAGAGGCCUCAACUGGACUCCAGAGCGCCCCAGGUCUGGCGGCCCAGACCUGCAGCUGUGUGGGCGCAGCCUCUCCGGGCAGGAAGUUAAUUUCCGCGUUGGAGGCAAUGCCUGAAGUGGGCCCAGUGCUCUGCAUGUUCCGAUGAGGGCCGGGCUGGUGAAGUCAUGUGGGAGGUAGCAGCAGAGGCAGGAUCCAAGCCAAGAUUUCUCUGCUGGCCUGGAGUGACCUUGUUCAGCCUCCUUUGCUCUCUAGCCCCCACCUCUCUGGUCUACACAAAGCUCUGGCUCUACAAGGGAAGACAGGUCCUCUUGGAAGGUGGGCCUGCACCCUCUUCUGCCCCCUGGUGGCUGUGAGGACAUACGGCAGUUCAGUCAGGGUUUUGGACGCUACAGGGCUAUCAUCCACCCAGAACCAGACACUCACAGACAGAUACCCACAGGGUCGCUGGAAUACACGGGGAUACAGACACCCACAGAGCCACAGACACCCACAGUACCACAAGAACUCACAGAACUGGGAACCUACAGGGUCACUGACCAUCAGAGUCACAAUGACCCACAGGACCUUGGGCACCUACAUGAUGGGCACUAUAGGGUUGGGGUACCAAUGCUGGGAGCUCUGGUUUUAACACCCCCCCACAGGAGGAUGUCCCUGCCACCUAUGUCUGAGGAGUGUGCAGUACAGGUCAGGAGUGGUUAGGGCCUGCAGGAAAUGACUCAAAGAUGGGAACAAUGUUGAGAGAGAUAAGUGUUCACCCACCUGUCAGCACCCUCUGGCGCUUCAGGCUGUAGUGGUGGGAGGUGGACAGGAUGCUGAAGUGCAUGUCUUUUAACUCCCAGCAGUGGCAGUGAAGAGAAGGGCUCAGUUUGCUGGUUCUUCCCACUGUCUCCCGAGCCAGAAGCGGCAUCAUGGGACAAGACGGGUCCACUAGCCUUGGCCUGAUCUCACAGCAGCAGGCUUUCAGAAUCAAGGACAAUUUCUCUGAAGUCCGCAAGUGCUGAAGACUGUAGGGUUAUAUCAGCCAGGUUGGCCAGCCCAGUCUGGCUCCUAGGGACCUAGCACCUUCAAUGUCAUCAUCAGAGACGGGACAGACUGGUCAGUCUUUAGAAUGUGCCAGAAGGCUGGGGAGAUGGCUCAGCCAGUAAGAGCUACUCUUCCAGAGGACCCAGGUUUAAUUCCCAGCACAUUCGUGGCCUCUUACUACUACCUGUAAUCGCAGUCCCAGGAGAUCUGACGCCCUCUUCUGGUCUCUUCAGGUACUGAACACACAGAGUGCAAAUAAAACACCCAUAUACAUAAAAAAAUGAAAUAUUUUAAAAAGAUAA